rnacentral:misc_RNA from 1 species
GUGAAUCAUCGAAUCUUUGAACGCACAUUGCGCCUCCCCGAGGGGGGAGGCAUGCCUGUCUGAGCGUCAUUCGAACCCAUGUGCCCUCCGGGGCGCGUCUUGGGCCUCGCGCGUGGUCGCGUCGCCUCGAAAGGAUCGGUCGAGAGGGCGGAUGAGAUCCACUAGGACCUGAGCCGCACCGAGACCCUAAAAGUCAGAAUUGACCUCAGAUCAGGUAGGGACACCGCCUGAACUUAAGCAUAUCAAUAAGCGGAGGA